GCGGCUGAUCUGGUCGUGGCGAGAAGGGUCGAGCACAGCCUCCGAGCCAGCUUUUAUCAAAGUGUGAGCAGUGGUGGAGGUCUGGCUCGGCUGCUGAUUUGCUCUCUGCUGUUGCUGCCUACUGAUGUUCAAUUUACGUUAUAGGUGGACUGUGGAGCUGUGGACAGCUGCCGAUUUGUUCUUGGCAGGUUCAGCCCAUCGAUGUUCAUAACGGGUUCAAGGUUGUAAUACUUGGCAUUUGCUGAACCAUCAGACUGCCAACUACUGUGCAUGACUCAAAAUUCUCUUGUCUUGCCUCAGCUACUCAAAUGGAUCUUGAUUUCUCAUCAGAUCCCAUGUGCUGUAUCAAAUUAGUUGCCCCUUAAACAUAUCAGUGAGUAGUAGACCCUAAAUCAUGAAGAUUUCAGUCCUUUUCUAUGUCUAGGUUAAUACAACAUGGUGAUAUCUUAAGGGGUUGAGUGAAGUUCCAGAGCCCACAACCACAUCUUUUUCCAUAACAAUACCCAACAAAAGUUUAUUUUUUACCUUUUUACGUCUGUUCACUUGAAGAUGUUGAGCACUUCUGCAGAUGAGAAGCUCAUGAUGUUAAUCAGGAUUUUCUUACACAACCCUACCAAUCUUGUGCUUUACACUUUCAUAAGGGAUUGCUGAGUGGACCUCACUAUUUACCAAUCUGUACAUUUAGACACAACUUCAGCUUUGUACCUGUCCCAUUUCUCGAUUUUUGUUGAAGCUCAGUUUGGUUCUCUCUUCUAAUCUCCUACCUGGGUGGCAGAUUCUUUCUUUUUCUGGGUUAGAGGAGAAAUACCUUUAAACAGCAUGUCAUACUGAUUUAUUCUUGCUCAACCUACUUUAUUUUCCUCCUAUAUAUCAUGUGAGAUUUCAUGGUGAGAGCUCUUACACACACGUUUCCACAAAACUUUUUCCCUUUUUGUCAGACUUCAUCCUUUGCACACAAAAGAUAUCCAGUGAAGAUGGAGGACUGCUUGAUAUAUUUCUUUCUGUGGAAGAGUCUGGGAGCUGAAUGGUACUGAAGUAGCUCACUGUCAGACAGGAGUCAUCUAGGGAUCACAAAUGAUAAAAUGUCGUCAAAAGCAACGGAAAAACUGCAGAACCUGCGUGUGCUGGUGUUUUGGCAUCCUACAGAAGAGCUUUCCACAAGCAUGGCUGUGGGCACUAGUUAGCAAACAGGAGGCUGCCAACCCAGAAGUACGAAGCCAGUCACUUGUUUCAAGGUCAAGAAAGCCAGACUGCUGAUUUAGCUGCUUCUGUUUGUUUGUGAUAGGAGUCUUAUGACUGCUACCCAUCUGGAAAGAUUGUUCUGCACCGCUGGAUACACCGGUCACUUUCUAUGCAUGAUCACUUUUGCAGUUCUGGCAGUAUUGCUCCUCAGUCUUAGGAGCAUGAACUAAAUCAAUACCCUUCUGUGCUCCUCUGCCCAUGCCUUCCUUUAUGUUUUUUUCAAAUGUUCUUAGUACUUGUAUGAGCACUUGUCAAUGUAAGCAUCUAUUAGUAAAUUCCUAUAUCAGGACACGCUGGUACCAAGCGCCUUUGCUGAAAACUGGUGAUGUGGUUUGCUGCUUUGUUUGGUCCUUGAUGUUAGUUUUACUGUGGCAGGACAGUAUGUUUUAAAACAGAUUCAGAAAUCCUUUCUGUGAAUAAGGUUAAAUAAAAACAGAUCUUGAUAAGGAUGAAAGAACACUGCUUUUGCUUUCUGCCAAGAUAAGCAGUGCGUUAUUUCACUUGUGAGAAUUGCUAUUGGAUAUUUCAUGAUGGAUAUUCCCUCUUCUUGGCUUAAUUUAGCAUAAUUGUUGUGUUUAAUUCAUUUAAAUAUCAUGUUACUGAUUCUAAA